rnacentral:rRNA from 1 species
UACAGAGGGUGCGAGCGUUAAUCGGAAUUACUGGGCGUAAAGCGUGCGUAGACGGUCAAGUAAGUCGGGUGUGAAAGCCCCGGGCUCAACCUGGGAAUUGCAUUCGAGACUGAAUAGCUAGGGUACGGUAGAGGGAAGUGGAAUUUCCGGUGUAGCGGUGAAAUGCGUAGAUAUCGGAAGGAACAUCAGUGGCGAAAGCGACUUCCUGGACCAGUACCGACGUUCAGGCACGAAAGCGUGGGGAGCAAACAGG